UCGUCAAACAGUCGACACAUCUUCAUUAUCUUCUGUUUGGUGAACGGGUUGGCGAGAAGUUUUUCCGACAAUCAGUCCUGUUUAUUUUUUGCGAAAUCUUACUGCUGCGCAACAGCCAGACAGCACCGGAAUCACGAGAUACGGCGUAGGAAAGUCUCGAGAGCUUUAAAAGGACAAACGAUAGUGAACUCCUAGGGCAAUCAUUCAUCCAACUAAAUGCUUCGGAUCCGGUCCAAGGAAACAUCUGGCACCGAAACCCUGUUCGAAUGGAACUGUCCGCCAACGAACAUCUUUCAAUGUACCGGUUCAAAACUCCAAUCCUGGCAAAAAUCGAUUAUGUGAACAUGAACUUACAGGG